AACUAAUUGGCCCAAUUCUUCUCUUCUUCUCCUUUAAUCUGGCCCAGCUUAAUUAAUUCCAGGCCCAAGUGAUGAAUAGUGGAAAAGGCCCAAAUACCCCCUUCACCAACCAUCGUCACUAUCUCUCUCUCAUUUCUCAAAAAUCCCCAAAUUGAAAAUGAGGAACCCUAGCCCCCUUUCUCUCCUUCCUCUCGGCGAUUUCGCACCCCGCCACCUUCAGCGCUCCUCGCCGGCGUGUGAGGAACCGGAGUCAGCCCAUUUCUAUUCCGUUCCUCUCCGCAUCGCACGACCGCUCCCACCCUCUGUCUCCUACUCGGCAAGAAGGGGUCUAAAAUUCGGAAACCUGGGGAGGUGGAGGACUCGUCGCUGUCUAACCGGCGACCCACUACCCACCAUCUCUUCCCCCUUUGAGGCAUAACCUUGUACGGGCAAUCUUGACGACGUUUCGUUCGCGGAGGGGUCACCCGUGGAGGGAAGACGUCGUAUUCUCCGUCCUUCAGCGGCAUCCCUCGGUCCACGCUGCCGUCGCCUCCAUCUUCCUCCCUUCGGCGACGCUGGACCCCUCGGCUUAGGGGUGACACGCAGACGGCGGUUCUGCCGCUGCGGAGACCCUCGUAGCAGUGCGCCGUUUAAUCAGGCAGUCGCCUCGCCGAAGCUAAGUUCCUACUAGUUAUCUUCUUUCUCUUGUCAUAGUCUAGUCCUAGUUCGCGUUUGAAAAGCAAUGUGGUUGUGCUUCUAUGUGACUGAUUCUGUGUGGAAGACACCAUUCCAUGGUUCCUUUCCUCCAGUCUCAAAAGUGCUACACUACCCUAGACAUGCAUCCUAAUGAGGCUGGGGUAUGUGCAAGGGAGGUUUACUGAUUUCUCAGAUUCUCAUGUUAUCAUAAAUCGUUUCCAUGUUUUGUUUCUAUCAUGCUCGAAUGAUGCCAUUAAACUUGAGAUUUAAGCUGAUGGGUGUUACCUUUCCCUUGUAACCCCGCUGAACUUGCUAAGCUACUCCCUUCCUUGGUCUUGACCUCUCUUGCUCCUCCGCUUGCUGCUCCGUUUAGUAACUAGUUUGUUGUGUGGUGGGGGAUGGAACUGAGGAGGAGAUUGGCAUAUUUAUGCACAGCUUGUAACUGAAAGCUGCACAAUGACUGAGGUGCACACUAGAGGUGGCACUGUGGGGGCUGACUUUCCGGACUAUAACCGGUUUGGGUAGGGAAAGCAAGGGCUGUUAUCUGCAGCUUUGCAGAGUAUUAGCUGGAGGGGAGCCUGCUGGCUGGAGUUUGCUUCUUUCGGUCCAACACUCACUCACAUUUCUGCAAGAUCACGGAGUUGCCGAGCUUGGUGCCGAACUGCCGAGCUUGGUGGCGAACUGCCGAGCUCGGUGCCGAACUGCCGUGCUUGGUGGCGAACUGCCGAACUCGGUGCCGAACUGCCGUGCUUGGUGGCUGCUCGUUUGGCUGGUGUGAGCCGUGGAGUGCAGGGAUAAAGCAACCUCUUACCUUUCUUUUUUUUUCGGGACAAGAGGCUGACUCUUCUCGGUUGCUGUCUCGUCUGUUCAGCCCAACGGGCCAUCGGAAACUGGGCCGAAACCAUGCUAGAAGAAGGGCCCGAAGCUAGUAGUUUCAUUUGUAAAGAGAUAGGGUUUCUAUUUGAAAUUCUCUCUUUUUCUUAACAUGUAAAAGUUUAUUGGUGUGUAUUUAAUUCCAAACACUUGAAAUUUGGUGGCUUUGAAAUUUCUGAAGUUGUACUUGUACCCUUAUUCAAGAAAUAAAAAUACUCUUUCAUUCGUCAA